CAUUGCCUGAAAGAAAAGAAAACACAAAUGAAAACGUGUUUAAAAGUAGAGGAUACUUGGCUUGCAGGGUCAGGUUAUUUCUAUAAAGUGAUAUUCUGGCCUAUCUGUGGUAAUUUUAAUGUUAUUUUUAUAAACAUCAAUUUUCUUUUUAUCCAUAGUUACUUGAUGUUGUGCCAAGUAUCUGUCAAACCAUCUUCAGUUUAGUACUUCCUCUACGUUAAAAUAGAGCACACGUGGUGUCUUAAUAGCAGACUUUCCACGAAAACUGGUGUGGGUGGGGGAGAAAGUCCCUGAAACGAUGUACGGUCUUGGUCCUGCUAGAAACUGCUGUUGGCUUUACCCUCUCACGUGCAAAUGCACUCAUUUCAUUUUGCUGUGACUGAAUACUAGAAGCAAUAUUGUAUCCUUCUCAUUUUUCUAUGUUCACCCAGAAUUACUACCCCACAGCUAUUUAUCACAGUAAGAGGAAAGCCUUUUCUGUCCUUUGUUUGCAUUCGGUAGGUAAUGUACACAUUUACAUACUGAGAUUUGUGUAUCAUUGGGCGUUAGUGUCACUUACUAGUUUAAUGUUACAAAGGAGAUGAAGACUUCUUUGGGAACUAGAACUUACAAAUAUUCAGCUAUAGUACUUUCUACUUAAUUAACUGACAUGUUAAAUUCUUGUUCAAUUAUUUUUAAAAUAGCAUCUUUAGAAAUCCACUUUUCAAACCAUGUUUCUUUGAUCAUUUUGCAUGUGUUUGGAUGUCAGCAGCAUGUAUGGACAGAGUCCCUGUUUUACCUACCCCCUGUGUUACCCGUGUCACAGCGUAGCACUGAUGUCUGCCCUGCUGGGAUUGCAGCCGUCUCGAACAAAAUGCCCUCACUGCAGUUCAGAUGGAAACUGGAAAGCCCGUCACGCAAGAAACGCAGCUUCUCAGGUACUCCCCAACUAAACGCAGUAGAGACUUUUGAACUGUAACUUCAGGUAUCAUACGCAAUUACCGCUGAGCAAAGUCCACUAGCUGUAUAAUCCAUGACAAAUAGAUGUGGAAUGAUAUUCAUACUUACAGUUAAUAAAACACUAGUUUCACUGUCAAUAAAACAACGUCUUUUAAUCAGAGACUGUAUUAUUACAAUAACACUUCUAAACCACAGCUGUGUCUUAGAAUUUAUUGUUUCAUUUCAAAACAAAGAUCAGAAAUCCAAUUGUCUUCCACCUAUUGAAACAACAACCACCUUUACAAAUGCUGAGAAUUCAUCACAUGGAAGUUGUUUCAGUGUAACCAGUAUGGUAUUUUUACACAGAGUACGUAGAAUGUACUUUAAAAACACAGAAUCUCAAGUGCAUUUGUGGGAUUUAAAUAAGCAGUGUGCCACACAGUGUUAUAAAUAAGCAUUGAAAAAUGUACUUUAGGCAGUUAGAAGAUAUAAAAAACAAAUUACUGCACAACACAGGGCAUAUAUAAUGUCAACAUUUCUCAAACCGUGUAAUGAAGGCAACAAAAUACAUGAACGCCACAUGAAUAGUGGCCAGCAAGUCAAUAAUUUAUAUCACUUGGUAUUUAUAUGACUGGUUUUGCUACGUUUGACUAAAAAUCCACACCUCAAAAUCAAUUCUUCAGACCACGAUUUAAAAGUACCUUUGUGAUGCAUUGUUCAGCUAUGUUGCAUACAGUAUUUGAAUAAGAAUUCUUAAUAAUUACAGGUCAAGAAUCCCAUCCUAGCAUGUAGGCAUGUCAGUAUUAACCAAAGAAGAGCUAUAACGUGCUGCUCACGUGUAUUCUACUUGACUGAGGAAGUGUCUGUUAUUGACCAAAUUCUAGUUUGGCUUUGGAGGAUGCUGCUGCUUAUAUUUAUGUAUACAUGAAUAUGUGUAUGUCAGUAUGAAUUAAUGUCAGACAUGUAUGUUAGUGUUUACAUGUGUAUGUAUAAUAUGAAUAUAAGCAGCAUUAUACAAUGUACAUAAAUAUAUAUUUGCAUAUAGAUGUAAGUAAAGUGACAAACUGCCAUUGUCAACUGAGUGGAAGUUCUGAAAAAGUAACCAUUUUAUUUCCUUCUCCUAAUUUAAACAUCCUGAUUGGGACACUACUUAGAGCAGCAAAGGUUUUUAAAAAUCUUUUCUGAAAUGACUGAUAAAUAUUAACUGCAGUGAAACCAUUAAGGUCGUGAAGGCAGUAUGCAAAACGUACCUUAGUACUCUCCCAUAAUCUUUAAUGUGUGUAAUUCAAUGGCUUUUGCUGCAUUUUACCCCAUUUUUGUUAGACAGCUCUACUGCUGCCCACCCCCCAAAACCCCAGCUACAUAGCAUCAAAAUUUGGUUUUGCCUUUAACCAGUGAGGGAAACGUGACUCCUCUGACCUCCAGAGCAGCCUAAAGCCUGACCUAAAGGCUCCCCUCCAAAAAUCACUGCCCCCCAUACACAUCCUGCACCAGGACUUACUGACUUGCAGUAAAUGCAGGAACUGGGACCUUAGACAGGAACUUCUUUGCAGCAGAAGCUGACUCGUCUGCGGAGUUUGCAUACUCUAAGAGCUAUAAAACAAGGGUAGGUAAUUUUUAUUCCCAUAACAAAUGACCAAUUCUGAAGUUAAUGUAUAACAUUUGCACAGCUUUUAGGAAGAGAAGUGCAUGCUUAGUGCCUAGUGUCAAAAAAGUACUUGCAAAGUCACCUUUGUGGAAGUCACCUUUGUGGCCUUCAUUAUUAAGGUUAUUUGAUUAUAUUGGAAAAAAAAAACAACACACAAAAAUCCCAAACUAUUUCAAAC